ensembl:lncRNA novel transcript
GAGAGCUUCUGCUGGAGGACCAAUCCAUCCUCGUGGGCAUGGGAGAGUCCUGCUCAUUGGAUGAUGUGGCAAGAAAACUCUUGCCAGAUGCUGGCACCUUGAUGUUGGCACCAGCCUCCAAGACUCUGAUAAGAACUGGGAACUGCCUCUCUGCUCUGCUGGAGAGCACACGAGUGCUUUGAGGAGAGUUGACCAUCUUCAGUGCUUGCUGCAGAGUUGGAAUAAAUGCAUCCAGAAUUCCAACAUCUUUGUCCUGAAAGAGUAACUUCCCAAUUUUAAUCUGAAACGUAGUCUCCUGUAAGGUGCAGAAUCAUGCAAUUACAGUAGCACCCCCAAUGUGCCAAUAUUUAACAUUCCUUCCUCAAUCUAUAACAUACUUGUACCAUUUUUGUUCCUCGAUAUAAUGUUCAGCAUAUUGAGGCUACAAAUGUGAGCAUGCAGGUGUUCUUGUUCUGAGCAAACGGUACAUGGGGAUUAGGUUUGUUCUCUGCUGCCCUCAUUCAGUCUUCUAGUGUCUUCCAUUAUAUUUAGGGAUCUCUUUUAUAACUAAUAACAGAAUCCCAGUACCCAAUUCUCACCCUAGAUUACAUAUUUAAUUUUAUGUCUCUCUCUUGCAUUAAUUUAUACAUUGCAACUAUUUACGAAAAAGGGAGGGUCUAUAAACGAUGAGGUAGCUUUAGCAAACUCAAUGAAGGAGUGACAGUUGUAAUUUAACAGAAUCCUGAGUACAUUUUCUUUCUAAACCCUUCCUUUCCUUCACUUUCUCUUUCUUGCUUUCCUUUUCUUUCACUCUUUGUCUCUCCUUCCCUUUUGGAUGUGUUAAAAAGGAAUGCUACCCUGAAUAAAAGCAUUUUUGAGAUGCAAUUUUUAAUAUAUUUUUAAGAGCUGGCCAUUUCAAGAUUCCUCUUCUCACUAUGAUGGAGAUUUAGGUACAGCUAAUCCUUGGGUAUGUGCUUGCUUUUUGGUGCUUUAGAGAAAAAUUAGAAAAAUAGGGUCCAAGAAAGACUGCUUUUCAAAAGCUUGGCACUUCUGAAGUCUUCAAUGCAGAUUCUAUCUAGGGCAUCUUUAUCCCAAAUUGAGGAUUAACAUCAAUUUGUAGGAUGCCAAAGAUGAAAGAUAAUCCAGGCUUGAAUGAUGCCCUGAUGACUAGGGAGAGCAACAUCGUGUUCGCAUUUAUGGAAGUACAGAAAGUCUGUUUACUCAAUUUAAUAGCCAUUGCCAUUAUCUUGACAUGAAUUGUGUUCCAUGCUCAUAGAAGACUUUGAUAGCAAUGCUUCAGCAAAGAGGAAAGUCCGUUUCCUCUGCAUUGGCGAUGCUGAGUCCGUGCGCAUAGUGGACAGGACCCUUUCUCUCAAUUCUUGCUUGAGGCUCCCAGGCUCAGUCAGAUUCUAAAAACAUUUUUUGAAGGUCUUAUUUUCUAUUGACUAGUUACUUUAUAAUCAGAAAGGAACAACAAACAUAGAGCCCCAGUGAACACAGAUUUUUUUCAAGUGUAUUCCUCCUCCAGACUUUUAUUGUUGAACAGAUAGCUUUUUUUAACAAAAAUUACAAUCAUUAUACACUAUUGUGUGCAUACUGCCUUUGUUUUUUCUCUUUUAAAAUGAAAAUUCAUUCUUAUUGUAAAAAUGUUGCAUGCUACUGUAAUGUUAAAGAGUACACUAUGUAAUAAAGUACAAAGAAAAAAGUAAAAAUAAUCACCUAAGAUUGCACCACUUAGAGAAAAGUAUUUUCAAUGUUUUCAUGAACAUUUAAAAAGCCAUCUUAGACUAGAUGUGGUUGGGUUAUGGGAUGUGAGGGUUUUGAAAUGCGGUAAGAAUGGGCAAGAACUACUAUUAAGAUUUUCUCCAGUUAGGAAGCAGCAAGUAAACCACAUGUUCAGAAAAGAGGAGAAACUAUUUGGUAGCACAGCAGAGUGACUAUAGUCAAUGAUAACUUAAUUGUACAUUUUAAAAUAACUUAAAGAGUAAAAUUGGAUUGUUUGUAACUCAAAGAAUAAAUGCCUGA